AUUGAACGCUGGCGGCAGGCCUAACACAUGCAAGUCGAACGAGUGGCGGACGGGUGAGUAAUGUCUGGGAAAUUGCCCGACGGAGGGGGAUAACUACUGGAAACGGUAGCUAAUACCGCAUACAAUCGGAUGUGCCCAGAUGGGAUUAGCGAGUAGGUGGGGGAAGGGCUCAACUAGGCGACGAUCCCUAGGUGGUCUGUGAGGAUGACCCGCCACCCUGGAACUGAGCACCGGUCCAGACUCCUACGGGAGGCAGCAGUGGGGAAUAUUGCACAAUGGGCGCAAGCCUGAUGCAGCCAUGCCGCGUGUAUGAAGAAGGCCUUCGGGUUGUAAAGUACUUUCAGCGGUGAGGCGUUACCCGCAGAAGAAGCACCGGCUAACUCCGUGCCAGCCGCCGCGGUAAUUC
rnacentral:rRNA from 1 species